UACGUAGGUGGCGAGCGUUGUCCGGAUUUACUGGGCGUAAAGAGCGCGCAGGCGGUCGUUCAAGUCGCGUGUGAAAGCCCCCGGCUCAACUGGGGAGGGUCACGCGAUACUGAUCGACUCGAAGGCAGGAGAGGGUAGUGGAAUUCCCGGUGUAGUGGUGAAAUGCGUAGAUAUCGGGAGGAACACCAGUGGCGAAGGCGGGUCUCUGGGCAGUAACUGACGCUGAGGAGCGAAAGCGUGGGGAGCGAACAGG
rnacentral:rRNA from 1 species